GUUUGAUUCAUGGCUCAGAUUGAACGCUGGCGGCAGGCCUAACACAUGCAAGUCGAGCGGAUGAAGGGAGCUUGCUCCUGGAUUCAGCGGCGGACGGGUGAGUAAUGCCUAGGAAUCUGCCUGGUAGUGGGGGAUAACGUCCGGAAACGGGCGCUAAUACCGCAUACGUCCUGAGGGAGAAAGUGGGGGAUCUUCGGACCUCACGCUAUCAGAUGAGCCUAGGUCGGAUUAGCUAGUUGGUGGGGUAAAGGCCUACCAAGGCGACGAUCCGUAACUGGUCUGAGAGGAUGAUCAGUCACACUGGAACUGAGACACGGUCCAGACUCCUACGGGAGGCAGCAGUGGGGAAUAUUGGACAAUGGGCGAAAGCCUGAUCCAGCCAUGCCGCGUGUGUGAAGAAGGUCUUCGGAUUGUAAAGCACUUUAAGUUGGGAGGAAGGGCAGUAAGUUAAUACCUUGCUGUUUUGACGUACCAACAGAAUAAGCACCG
rnacentral:rRNA from 1 species